AGGCUUUGCAGCUUUAGCUGAUUUUGCAUUUGCUGAAGACACAGCCCCAGAUGAAGCAGGAGGUGCCUUGCCACCCUCAGCUUUUGCAGCAGCUUUUGCAGCUCGUUGAGCCUCUUGAAGGGCACGCCUUUCAGCUUUAGUCGUUUUCUCCUUCAAUGGCUUUGAAUGUGUAGUUCGGUCAUUUUGAAGUUCUGCUGCCACUCCAGCCUUUUCAGAUAGACCAGGAGGUAAAUUGACCACGGAAACGGUCGUCAAUCCACUUGCUGGAACGCUACUCGCUGCUGGCAUAUCAAAUCCUCCCCCAGGAAAACUACUCGACGCGGCUCCAGCCCUUCCUCCCCUACCCACCCAAGCUACGUCAUCCGAGGAAGAAGUAGCGGCAGUAGGAGAUGUAGCCGGCAUGAAAUCGGAGGCAUUGUAGCUGCCGACGGGGACAGUGUCUCGACGAAGAGGAGACAAGGGGGCAGAGGCGUGACGUGGUGGAGGUAUCAUGACUGGAGAGAGGGAGUUGGCACCGGAGGGAGAGAGGUCGGCUAUUGUUGGAGGCAAAGAGGAGAUAUGGUCAGGUGGGCCAGAUUGGGAUCGGUCAGGUAUGGCGGCUCCGGGAGCAAAGAAGCCGACUUGGCGGACCUUCGGGUCGCUGACGGUGCGUGGUGCUCGCCGAGGGUCCAUGGAGAGGGCAGUUACAGGGACAUGGAAAGGGAAAUGGAAAUCAGAGAGACUGUAUUGCUUUCAAUGGGAAAAUUUGAGGGAUUGGUAGAGUGCGAUUUUC
rnacentral:misc_RNA from 1 species